UCAAGCUUUAAAGGGCACAUAGUGGAUGCCUUGGUGCUAGAAGGCGAUGAAGGACGUGAUAAGCUGCGAUAAGCGUCGGUGAGCUGCAAACAAGCUCUGACCCGACGAUUUCCGAAUGGGGUAACCUGGUAUCAUUAAUAUGAUAUCGUUCCUUGCUGAAUAAAAUAGGCAAGGAUACGCAAUACCCGGUGAAGUGAAACAUCUCAGUAACCGGAGGAAAAGAAAGAGAAAUCGAUUCCGUGAGUAGCGGCGAGCGAAAACGGAGGAGCCCAAACCGGGGGAUUUAUUCCCCGGGGUUGUAGGACCCCGAUAUGGGACCAGAGACGAUAGGCGAAGCAUUUGGAAAGAUGCGACAAAGAGGGUGAAAUCCCCGUAGCCGAAAUCCUCAAUGGCCCUAGGGAGUUCCUGAGUAGCACGGGACACGUGAAACCCCGUGUGAAUCUGCGCAGACCACUGCGUAAGGCUAAAUACUAACUAGCGACCGAUAGUGAACAAGUACCGUGAGGGAAAGGUGAAAAGUACCCCUGUGAGGGGAGUGAAAUAGAACCUGAAACCCUAUGCCUACAAGGUGUUAGAGCCCUUUCGAGGGUGAUAGCGUGCCUUUUGCUUAAUGAGUCUGCGAGUUACCGUCUGUGGCAAGCUUAAGAUCUUCUGGAUCGUAGGCGUAGCGAAAGCAAGUCCGAAUAGGGCGUAUAAGUUGCUGGAGGUAGACCCGAAACGGAGGUGACCUACCCAUGGCCAGGUUGAAGCUUAGGUGAUACUAAGUGGAGGACCGAACCGGUGUGUGUUGAAAAACGCUCGGAUGAGCUGUGGGUCGGAGUGAAAGGCUAAUCAAACCCCGUGAUAGCUGGUUCUCCUCGAAAUGCAUUUAGGUGCAGCGUUGCGUGUUGAUGAGUGGGGGUAGAGCACUGAAAGGGCUAGGGGGCAUACCCGCCUACCAACCCCUAUCAAACUCCGAAUACCAUUCAAUAGAGCGCAGCAGUGAGACAGUGGGGGAUAAGCUUCAUUGUCGAAAGGGAAACAGCCCAGAUCAGCAGCUAAGGUGCCAAAAUCAUGCUAAGUGGAAAGGAGGUGGGGUUUCUUAGACAGUGAGGAUGUUGGCUUAGAAGCAGCCACCAUUUAAAAAAUGCGUAAUAGCUUACUCAUCGAGAGACCCUGCGCCGAAAAUGAUUGGCGAUAAGCAUGAUACCGAAGCUCUGGAUGUCAGAAUCCUGCGGGAAUCUGGCGUGGUAGAGGAGCAUUGUCAUCUGCAUUGAAGCGGAAAGGCGACUGACCGUGGAGUGAUGACAAGAGAGUAUGUAGACAUGAGUAACGAUAAGCCGGGUGAAAUCCCCGGCCGCCGUAAACCCAAGGUUUCCCGGGCAACGUUUUUCGUCCCGGGGUUAGUCGGGACCUAACCCGAGGCCGAUAGGCGUAGGGGAUGGUAAGCUGAUUAAUAUUUCAGCACCUGCAAAGUGAAGGGGACGCUUACUGGAUUGCAACCAGGUUAUUGAAUUCCGAGGGGAGGCCUUGUGCCGAACCGUAUUGCAUGAAUGUGAGCCAAGAAAAGCCGACACGACUAAAAGCAGCCCGUACCGUAAACCGACACAGGUGGGUGGGUAGAAUAUACCAAGGCGCAAGAGUGAAACCUGGUCAAGGAACUCGGCAAAAUAGCCCCGUAACUUCGGAAGAAGGGGUGCCAUUAAUUUGGCCGCAGUGAAAUGGCCCAACCGACUGUUUAGCAAAAACACAGCAUUGUGCUAAGGCGUAAGCCGACGUAUACGAUGUGACACGUGACCAAUGCCAAAAGAUUACGGUAAGGUGUUAGCCCUCGAGGCAAAGCUCCGAGCCCAAGUCCUGGUGAAUGUCGGCCGUAACUAUAACGGUCCUAAGGUAGCGAAAUUCCUUGUCGGGUAAGUUCCGACCUGCACGAAUCA
rnacentral:rRNA from 1 species